rnacentral:rRNA from 1 species
GAUGAACGCUGGCGGCGUGCCUAAUACAUGCAAGUCGAGCGAACAGACGAGGAGCUUGCUCCUCUGACGUUAGCGGCGGACGGGUGAGUAACACGUGGAUAACCUACCUAUAAGACUGGGAUAACUUCGGGAAACCGGAGCUAAUACCGGAUAAUAUAUUGAACCGCAUGGUUCAAUAGUGAAAGACGGUUUUGCUGUCACUUAUAGAUGGAUCCGCGCCGCAUUAGCUAGUUGGUAAGGUAACGGCUUACCAAGGCAACGAUGCGUAGCCGACCUGAGAGGGUGAUCGUCCACACUGGAACGGAGACACGUUCCAGACUCCUACGGGAGGCAGCAGUAGGGAAUCUUCCGCAAUGGGCGAAAGCCUGACGGAGCAACGCCGCGUGAGUGAUUAAGGUCUUCGGAUCGUAAAACUCUGUUAUUAGGGAAGAACAAAUGUGUAAGUAACUAUGCGCGUCUUGACGGUACCUAAUCAGAAAGCCACGGCUAACUACGUG